AGUGAACGCUGGCGGUAGGCCUAACACAUGCAAGUCGAACGGCAGCACAGUAAGAGCUUGCUCUUACGGGUGGCGAGUGGCGGACGGGUGAGGAAUACAUCGGAAUCUACUUUUUCGUGGGGGAUAACGUAGGGAAACUUACGCUAAUACCGCAUACGACCUACGGGUGAAAGCAGGGGAUCUUCGGACCUUGCGCGAUUGAAUGAGCCGAUGUCGGAUUAGCUAGUUGGCGGGGUAAAGGCCCACCAAGGCGACGAUCCGUAGCUGGUCUGAGAGGAUGAUCAGCCACACUGGGACUGGGACACGGUCCAGACUCCUACGGGAGGCAGCAGUGGGGAAUAUUGGACAAUGGGCGCAAGCCUGAUCCAGCCAUACCGCGUGGGUGAAGAAGGCCUUCGGGUUGUAAAGCCCUUUUGUUGGGAAAGAAAAGCAGCAGGUUAAUACCCCGCUGUUCUGACGGUACCCAAAGAAUAAGCACCGGCUAACUUCGUG
rnacentral:rRNA from 1 species